UUAAUUAAAAUUUUAAAAAAUAAUAAAUAAAAAUAGAGUUACCAAAUACGUUUUAUGUUACCAAAUACCUCCUCUGUGACGGCGCCCCCACCUUCAUUCGACAACCCCGAACAGCACCCGAAGACAGUAGCCCAGCCGCCGUUCGACCCCAGGACAGCAACCCCGCCAUUAUUUCGACAUCCACAACAGAUCUUAUAGGAAGGAGAAAGAUCUAAAGAAGCGCAGCAGCAACCGCAAAAGAAAAAAGCAUUCUUCAAGAAGAAGAUCGUCUGAAUCUAGUUCAUUGUCAAGCUCAUCAGAGGAUUCUUCUAGCAGUGAUGAAGAAGAGAAGGAAGCAAGAAGAUCCAAAGAUGGCUUGCUGGAUGGCCACAUGAAAGAGACAGGAUGCAAUGAGUUUGUAGCUGAAAACUAUAUUGAGACAAGAUAUAGUUUUCUUUGAUAAAGAGACCAACACAAGCGAAAUUGUUGGCAUUAUGUUUGGUGACACUUUUUUUUAAUCCAAGAUGCAAUGGGAGAGAAGAGGAUAACAUUCAAAACAUCAUCAUCAUCAUCUCAAAAAUGGCAUCCUCUGGACAAACUGCUAAUGCCAAAGCAGCAAAUGUAGUUGAUCAAACAUUUAGUUCGAUAAGAACUGUAUGUAUUUGUGUUAAAAUUU